rnacentral:rRNA from 1 species
UACGUAGGGGCCUAGCGUUGUCCGGAUUUAUUGGGCGUAAAGAGCUCGUAGGCGGUUCGGUAAGUCAGGUGUGAAAUCUCCACGCUCAACGUGGAGGCGCCACCUGAAACUGCCGUGACUCGAGUCCGGUAGGGGAGUGUGGAAUUCCCGGUGUAGCGGUGAAAUGCGCAGAUAUCAGGAAGAACACCAAUGGCGAAGGCAGCUCUCUGGGACGGUACUGACGCUGAGACGCGAAAGCGUGGGGAGCGAACAGG